ACUCCUACGGGAGGCAGCAGUGGGGAAUAUUGCACAAUGGGCGCAAGCCUGAUGCAGCCAUGCCGCGUGUGUGAAGAAGGCCUUCGGGUUGUAAAGCACUUUCAGUUGUGAGGAAAGGUUAGUCCUAAUAUCGGUACUAGCUGUGACGUUUAGCAACAGAAGAAGCACCGGCUAACUCCGUGCCAGCAGCCGCGGUAAUACGGAGGGUGCGAGCGUUAAUCGGAAUUACUGGGCGUAAAGCGCGUGUAGGUGGCUUGUUAAGCCAGAUGUGAAAG
rnacentral:rRNA from 1 species